UAGAAGACAAGCGAGGACGAUGAUCGGUACCGUGAAACAUAACGAGACGUUCACGAUCUUGCUUCGCGGGAAGACCAGAGUGCAGAUCGACAACUCAUCCGUGAUAUCCUAUUAAUUAAUCAAAUGUUAAUUGGUACUCGACUAAAGUAUAUCGAUUAUUGAUUCUUUGUGUUACACAUCUAAAGUGACACCAAGUACCAUCCUCGUUAUUGAUUUCUUUUUAAUGCAAUAGAAGGAUACCUUCGGCUGAAACCAAAAUACGACCGGUAGAAAAACGAAAGCCGCUAUGAUCCACGUGACGAGACUACCUGCUAGAACUCGGGGCCUCGUUAAGGCACUUCUGUAGGGAGCUAUCGCUAAACAUCGAUGUCUGUCCAUUGAUAUAAACGUUAAUGUCCAUAGAAGCACGAAGCCGCAGACGAACUAUAAGAAUUAAGAGCAACCAGAUACAUGGGAAGGAUGUUACGGAGGCCGUGUUUACUCGUACGGAUAAUUAAAAACAAAAUCAUCGAUAAAACAACAACGAUCACAAGGGUUUAAUAAAAGCACCUGGCAAAUUGAAUUGUGGACAAAAAUACGGCAGAAGUGAUAAUCGAUAUUUUUUUUUUUAUGUCGAGGGAUAUUUAUAAAGCUGGUGGAACAUCGAUAUCGUUCGAACCAAAAAAGAGGAGAUCGAGGUUGACUUUCGCGUCAACGAAGGAACUGAAAUAUCCUAAUGACCAGAGGGAGCGGCUUUACCCUACAAAGACUGAAAUUCUCGUCCAUUUCAUGCAAUUACCGCGCCGUAAGUUCUCGUCGUAUUUUCGAAGAACUGUUUUCUUCUUCUUCUUUUUUUUUUUUUAAGCAUCAAAGUAAACACAAUAUUUUUAACAGUAUCGUCAAUCACGCUUUUACAUUUCAAUGCUUUAAAGUGUAAGAAUGGAUAACGAUCUCGGAGACGGUUAGUCGACAUCGAUAAAUUACCAAUAACAGUUCAGUUGUCCCGCUGAAUUUAGUUCUCGGGUUAAUAAAUGAUUUUAUUACGGUUUAUUCGUGCGGUGUUAUCGCCAUCCCGACCCAGAUCCUUCGAAUCAAAAAUAGUCGAAUUUUAAUUGUUUCCCUUAGGCGACGCAAUGUUUAUAUAAUUGUAACAAAUAGUAUAAAUUAUUUACGCGAAACAUAUAAAUUUUCCAAACGUAUAGAAAAUGUAAAAAAGUGUAUAAAAUGUACGUACCUUUGAAACGGUGCGUAAAUCCAAUGUUCAAAAGCAAGGCAAUUGUAAAUUUAAAUCUAAGGAGAUUUAGAUUUUAAAUUCCAUUAGGGGUUUUCUAACGGUUUUAAAUACA